rnacentral:rRNA from 1 species
ACGUAGGGACCAAGCGUUGUCCGGAUUUAUUGGGCGUAAAGAGCUCGUAGGCGGUUCCGCAAGUCGGGUGUGAAAACUCUGGGCUUAACCCAGAGCCUGCAUCCGAUACUGCGGUGACUAGAGUCCGGUAGGGGAGUGGGGAAUUCCUAGUGUAGCGGUGAAAUGCGCAGAUAUUAGGAGGAACACCGGUGGCGAAGGCGCCACUCUGGGCCGGUACUGACGCUGAGGAGCGAAAGCGUGGGUAGCAAACAGGAUUAGAUACCCUGGUAGUCCACGCCGUAAACGGUGGGCACUAGGUGUGGGUUCCAACCAACGGAAUCCGUGCCGUAGCUAACGCAUUAAGUGCCCCGCCUGGGGAGUACGGUCGCAAGACUA